AUAAUUUUUUCUCUCUUCAUAACGAAUUAAUCUUUAGCUUUUUACUAAAGAUUUCCGUAGAGAGGGACUCAUUAAUGAUUGAAAAAUAGUCUGCAAAGGAUAUUUUUGUAGUGCCU